GGACCCCGCGGGGUAUUGCCUCAGUAGCGGCGAGUGAAGCCGGCAAGAGCUCAGAUUUGAAAUCGUGCUUUGCGGCACGAGUUGUAGAUUGCAGGUUGGAGUCUGUGUGGAAGGCGGUGUCCAAGUCCCUUGGAACAGGGCGCCCAGGAGGGUGAGAGCCCCGUGGGAUGCCGGCGGAAGCAGUGAGGCCCUUCUGACGAGUCGAGUUGUUUGGGAAU
rnacentral:rRNA from 1 species